CAAUAAUACUUGUAACUUUAAUGUCUAAACAGAAAUGUUCUCCUCAUUCGAACUCGACUGACAUAUUUCACACACAUAAAAGUUGGAAAAAUUGUCAAUUCAGGCAAUAAAACCGAAAAGUUUUAUAAGUUUCUUCUUUAACCGAAGAUCGAGAAUAACAACUACUGGCGCCGUGAAGCUGUAAACAAAGUGAUCAAUAUCAGAUACCUGCAAUCCAUAACUGGACGAAAACAUAAAAGUUAGUUUGAAAUUGUUCUCUUUCGUACUUACAUUUCCAUAUUAGCUUGAUAGAUAUGUUCAGAUCGAAUCAGAGGAUUAAGUUGAUUAAUUUCUUACACUGGCAGACAGUUUUCGACACAUACCAUAAACUAUUCGUUCAAAAGAAGUUUAUAUCAAUUAAGCACCACUUGAUGACUGGAAUAUACGUAGCCGUAUUAUUAUUAUAUGUUCACUGAUGGAUGUAUGUACUAUAUAAAUAAUAAAAUAAA